AUAAAUAUUUAAAAAUAUAAGUAACACUAAGAUACACAACCAAAUAAAAAGUGUACAUAUAUCAAAUAAAGACAUUAAAUUCACCAUUCUUAUACAUAAUUAGGAUUAAUCAAUUUAAAAUCAAAAUAACUAAGAAGGUAGCAAAUAACUAACCUUAUUAUCCCUAAAAUGAGUAUCUAGAAGAUCCUUGAUUAUCUUGACUUUGAUUCUAAGAUUGGAACUGGGAGCUUUGAUUAUUAGCUUAGAUUGUAAACUUACUAUGUAAUUAGAUUGCACACUUGCUUACUAUUUAAUUUAUGAUUUAUGAAAAUAAAUUUCAAUAGUUAAUUUCAUGAUUAGUUAUUGUUUUCAAAUUUUAUGUUGCCAAAGCCUAAAUUUAUACUUAGCAAAUAUUAUUAAAGCCUAAAACUUUUUAUGAUAUUAUUUUCUAAUUAUUUAUCUAUUUACCUAAAAAUGAUUAGAAAAAUUUCUAAGAAUUAGAGAAAAUAAACAAUAACUCACUUUUUGACACUCUUGAACUCAAAACUUUGUAUAGUAUUGAAGUUGAAGGCCUUCACUUUAGUAGAUUUGAUUUUGUAUGUGGAGGGAAAAAGAGAGAGAGAGAGAGA
rnacentral:misc_RNA from 1 species